rnacentral:rRNA from 1 species
CCCUUAGAUGUUCUGGGCUGCACGCGCGCUACACUGAUGCGCUCAACGAGUUUACGACCUUGCCCGGAAGGGUUGGGUAAUCUUUUUAAAACGCAUCGUGAUGGGGAUAGAUUAUUGCAAUUAUUAAUCUUUAACGAGGAAUUCCUAGUAAGCGCGAGUCAUCAGCUCGUGCUGAUUACGUCCCUGCCCUUUGUACACACCGCCCGUCGCUCCUACCGAUUGAGUGGUCCGGUGAAUAAUUCGGACUGCAGCAGUGUUCAGUUCCUGAACGUUGCAGCGGAAAGUUUAGUGAACCUUAUCACUUAGAGGAAGGAGAAGUCGUAACA